rnacentral:rRNA from 1 species
CCUACGGGAGGCAGCAGUGAGGAAUAUUGGUCAAUGGACGAGAGUCUGAACCAGCCAAGUAGCGUGAAGGAUGACUGCCCUAUGGGUUGUAAACUUCUUUUAUCUGGGAAUAACAUGUUCCACGUGUAGGCUUUUGUAUAUACCCUAUGAAUAAGGAUCGGCUAACUCCGUGCCAGCAGCCGCGGUAAUACGGAGGAUCCGAGCGUUAUCCGGAUUUAUUGGGUUUAAAGGGAGCGUAGGUGGAUUGUUAAGUCAGUUGUGAAAGUUUGCGGCUCAACCGUAAAAUUGCAGUUGAAACUGGCAGUCUUGAGUACAGUAGAGGUGGGCGGAAUUCGUGGUGUAGCGGUGAAAUGCUUAGAUAUCACGAAGAACCCCGAUUGCGAAGGCAGCUCACUGGACUGCAACUGACACUGAGGCUCGAAAGUGUGGGUAUCAAACAGGAUUAGAUACCCUUGUAGUC